GAUGAAGAACGUAGCGAAAUGCGAUAGUAAUGUGAAUUGCAGAAUUCAGUGAAUCAUCGAGUUUUUGAACGCAUAUUGCGCCCUCUGGUAUUCCGGGGGGCAUGCCUGUUCGAGCGUCAUUAAAUAACCCUCAAGCAUAGCUUGGUGUUGGGCUUUUUUACGUCCUUGACUGGGAUGGGCCUAAAAAUUAGUGGCGAUGGCUUUUUUACUUUCAAGCGUAGUAAAUCUCGUCUUGCUAAAGAGGAAAAAGAUUUUUUUUCUGCCAAAAAUUUUAACAUUUAAAGUUGACCUCGGAUCAGGUAGGAUUACCCGCUGAACUUAAGCAUAUCAAUAAGCGGAGGA
rnacentral:misc_RNA from 1 species